rnacentral:rRNA from 1 species
ACUACGGGGGGCAGCAGUGGGGGAUAUUGCACAAUGGGGGAAACCCUGAUGCAGCGACGCCGCGUGUGGGAAGACGGUCCUCUGGAUUGUAAACCACUGUUCCCAGGGACGAAGAUGACGGUACCUGGGGAGGAAGCGCCGGCUAACUACGUGCCAGCAGCCGCGGUAAUACGGAGGGAGCGAGCGUUGUCCGGAAUUACUGGGUGUAAAGGGAGCGUAGGUGGGACUGCAAGUUGGGUGUCAAAUCUACCGGCUCCACCGGUAGCCGCACUCAAAACUGCAGUUCUUGAGUGAAGUAGAGGCAGGCGGCAUUCCUGGUGUAGCGGUGAAAUGCGUAGAUAUUAGGAGGAACACCAGUGGCGAAGGCGGCCUGCUGGGCUUUUACUGACGCUGAGGCUCGAAAGUGUGGGGAGCAAACAGGAUUAGAUACCCCGGUAGUC